GAUGAACGCUGGCGGCGUGCCUAAUACAUGCAAGUCGAGCGAACAGACGAGGAGCUUGCUCCUCUGACGUUAGCGGCGGACGGGUGAGUAACACGUGGAUAACCUACCUAUAAGACUGGGAUAACUUCGGGAAACCGGAGCUAAUACCGGAUCAUAUAUUGAACGGCAUGGUUCAAUAGUGAAAGACGGUUUUGCUGUCACUUAUAGAUGGAUCCGCGCCGCAUUAGCUAGUUGGUAAGGUAACGGCUUACCAAGGCGACGAUGCGUAGCCGACCUGAGAGGGUGAUCGGCCACACUGGAACUGAGACACGGUCCAGACUCCUACGGGAGGCAGCAGUAGGGAAUCUUCCGCAAUGGGCGAAAGCCUGACGGAGCAACGCCGCGUGAGUGAUGAAGGUCUUCGGAUCGUAAAACUCUGUUAUUAGGGAAGAACAAAUGUGUAAGUAACUAUGCACGUCUUGACGGUACCUAAUCAGAAAGCCACGGCUAACUACGUG
rnacentral:rRNA from 1 species